rnacentral:rRNA from 1 species
CCUACGGUGCGCUGCAGUGAGGAAUAUUGGUCAAUGGACGAGAGUCUGAACCAGCCAAGUAGCGUGAAGGAUGACUGCCCUAUGGGUUGUAAACUUCUUUUAUAUGGGAAUAAAACAGGGUAUGCAUACCCUCUUGUAUGUACCAUAUGAAUAAGGAUCGGCUAACUCCGUGCCAGCAGCCGCGGUAAUACGGAGGAUCCGAGCGUUAUCCGGAUUUAGUGGGUUUAAAGGGAGCGUAGGUGGAUUGUUAAGUCAGUUGUGAAAGUUUGCGGCUCAACCGUAAGAUUGCAGUUGAAACUGGCAGUCGUGAGUACAGUAGAGGUGGGCGGAAUUCGUGGUGUAGCGGUGAAAUGCUUAGAUAUCACGAAGAACUCCGAUUGCGAAGGCAGCUCACUGGACUGCAACUGACACUGAUGCUCGAAAGUGUGGGUAUCAAACAGGAUUAGAUACCCCUGUAGUC